AUGAAGGUCCCGACUGGCUUCUCGUCGAAUAUAAAGGGAAUAAUAAAUAUGCCAGAGAAAAAGUUCCAGAACCUAAAGUCUCAUGACUGCCACGUGAUUAUGACGCAACUGCUUCCGGUUGCAUUGAGGGGGCUUCUACCGGAAAACGUUCGAUUAGCCAUUGUGAAGCUAUGUGCAUUCCUCAAUGCAAUCUCUCAGAAGGUGAUCGAUCCAGAAAUCAUACCAAGGCUAAGGAGUGAUGUGGCGCAAUGUCUUAUCAGUUUCGAGCUGGUGUUCCCACCAUCCUUCUUCAAUAUCAUGACGCACGUCCUAGUUCACUUAGUCGACGAGAUUGUCAUUCUGGGGCCCGUAUUUCUACACAAUAUGUUCCCCUUUGAGAGGUUCAUGGGAGUCCUAAAGAAAUAUGUCCGUAACCGCACUAGGCCAGAAGGAAGCAUCUCCAUGGGCCAUCAAACAGAGGAUGUCAUUGGGUUUUGUGUUGACUUCAUUCCUGGCCUUAAGAAGAUAGGUCUCCCUAAAUCGCGGUAUGAGGGGAGACUGACUGGAAAAGGCACGCUUGGAGGGGGGGACUCAAUAAUAUGCAGGGACGGAUAUACUUGGUCUCAAGCACACUACACAGUUCUAUAG
rnacentral:rRNA from 1 species